rnacentral:rRNA from 1 species
UACGGGGGGUGCGAGCGUUGUCCGGAAUCACUGGGCGUAAAGGGCGCGUAGGUGGCCUGAUAAGGGUGUGGUGAAAGUCCGGGGCUUAACCCCGGAUCUGCCGUGCCGACUGUUAGGCUAGAGUGCUGUAGGGGCAGGCGGAAUUCCGGGUGUAGCGGUGGAAUGCGUAGAUAUCGAGAGGAACACCUGCGGCGAAGGCGGGUUGCUGGGCUGAUACUGACGCUGAGGCGCGAAAGCCAGGGGAGCGAACGGG